GUCAGUCAGUGCAUAACCGUCGUUCGUGGGUGGUGCACGUUUGCUCUUCACUCUGUUCAGUUGACUGGUUAUCAAUAUUUCACUGUUUUUAACCGCAGUCCGCUCUGCAUGAAUCUUCUUUUGGGCCAACUCUUCGCUGGUGCCAUGACUCUUCAUUUUCAGUGAGUGUUUGAACAUGGAACCCGCAUCUUACGAGAUUCCAAUCGUAGUCAUGUCCGCCAGAAUUCAGCCCUGGGAUCGGCUGUACACUUCGCCGACUCACUCUUCGGCAGCAAGAGCCCGUGCGGUGCCCGAGGGCUACACCGCCUCACCUCUCGACAUCAGGAAGGUCCGGGACAGCCUUGAAUGGACUCUCAAGUCGAACUACGACCACGAAAACGACCUGUUCGUCAACAAGUCGGAAGCCAUGAGGCGGCCCGGAGUAGACAAAAGGCGGUGUAUCAGAGAGCAUGCGAGGGCAAUAAAACAGCGGGACACCCUCCAGGUCCUGCGGAAGGAUCAAGAGGGCGAAGCCCUCCCUCGCAGAUUCGACGAGAACCUCCUGAAGGAGCAGGCAUUAGCGGCAGAAGGACGCCGCUUGAAAGGACCUCGGGUGGUGACGAUAAGGACAAGAGAGUCCUUCGUGACGUCCCUCAUCCACUCGCCUCGUCCUACUCAUACCCUGACUGCCACAAAGGCCAGUAUAGGAUACGCCAGGAACCCCACAGGAGCCUUCUUUACGUCGUAGCAAUUGUAGUAGUGGCUGAUCUUGAAAAUCAAGUGAACCUCCUUCAUGUUUAGCUAACUAGGAAAUGAUAAUAAUAAAAAAGAAAAUUU